UACGUAGGGGGGCGAGCGUUGUUCGGAAUUAUUGGGCGUAAAGGGUGCGUAGGCGGUUUGGUAAGUCUGAUGUGAAAUCUAUGGGCUCAACUCAUAGUCUGCAUCGGAAACUGCCGGGCUUGAGUGUGGGAGAGGUGAGUGGAAUUCCUGGUGUAGCGGUGAAAUGCGUAGAUAUCAGGAGGAACACCUGUGGCGAAAGCGGCUCACUGGACCAUAACUGACGCUGAUGCACGAAAGCUAGGGGAGCAAACAGG
rnacentral:rRNA from 1 species